CAAAAACAUGUCUUUUUGUAAUUUAUUUAAUGUUGGUCCUGCUCAAUGAUUUUAUAUUUAAUAGCCGCAGUAUAUUAACUGUGCUAAGGUAGCAUAAUCAAUUGUCUUUUAAUUAAAGGCUGGAAUGAAAGGUUUGACGAGGUAAUAGCUUUCUUUAAUUUAAUUAAUUGAAUUUAAUUUUUAGGUUAAAAAGCUUAAAUUAAAUUAAGGGACGAGAAGACCCUAUAGAUUUUAAUAUUUUGUUUAAUUUUAUUGAUUUAGUUUAUUAUUAAUAAAAUUGAUUUAUUUAUUUAAUUGGGGCGAUUUAGAAAUUUAUUGAACUUUUUAUUUAUUUUUCAUUAAUUUAUGUUUUAUUGAUCCGUUAUUAGUGAUUAUAAGAUUAAAUUACCUUAGGGAUAACAGCGUAAUUUUUCCAGAGAGUUCUUAUUGAUGGAUAA
rnacentral:rRNA from 1 species